rnacentral:lncRNA from 1 species
AUGGCAAGCCACAGAAAGAGGAUCUGCCCUAGUCAAUAAGCCCCAUAAAGCUAAGAGCAGAGAGGCUGGGUUGAUCCAGAAAAAAAAGUGACUGAGGCAUGGCCAGCAGAUAAUGAGCCUUCCUGCAUUUUGCUCGUUCCAUUUCACAUCAAACAUAGGGAUUUGGAGACCAGAUCUGGUCAUUCAUAAAGCAAAUUCUUCUAGACCCCAUGGUGACACUGGGUGGAAAGUUAAAGGAAUCCAGCUCCUAGGUUUACACAAUGAAAGAAUACAUCAGAUGUCAGAGGCUUUAUGGAUUGAUUCUCAUGUUGAGCUUUAUCUUUCUCUCAGGUAAGAAAAUGGAUUCUUACGCUUUUUUUCAAUGUCUCAUAUGCCAUAGUUAGAAAUAAACCAUUUGAAAGGUUGUGAGGCUGUCUCUCUACAGCUUCCUUUUGAUCAUCAAUAUGACUGUAGGACAGGUUGAAACUUUAGUCAGUGAAUCCAUUCACUCAGGAUUGUGUUAAGUCUUUUAUUUAUUUAUUUAUUUAUUUAUUUAUUUAUUUAUUUAUCAUUUAUUUAUUUAUUUAUUCAUGAGGGACACAGAGAGAGAGAGAGAGAGAGAGGCAGAGACACAGGCAGAGGGAGAAGCAGGCUCCAUGCAGGGAGUCUGAUGCGGGACUCCAUCCUGGGACUUCAGGAUCACGCCCUGGGCCGAAGGCAGGCGCCAAACCGCUGAGCCACCCAGGGAUCCCCAGGAUUGUUGAAGUUUGAUAGAAAAUUGGCCUCAAGUAAACAGUAGUUUGGACUAUUGUCUUUGACAUUUGUUUGUUUCUUUUUUAAAAAAGAUUUAUUUAUUCAUAAGAGACACACAGAGAGAGGCAGAGACAUAGGCAGAGGGAGAAGCAGGCUCCUCACUGGGAGCCUGAUGCAGGACUUGAUCCCGAAUCCUGGGAUCACGCACUGAGCCAAAGGCAGACGCUCAACUGCUGAAACACCCAGGUGUCCCUCUUUCUUUCUUUCUUUCUUUCUUUCUUUCUUUCUUUCUUUCUUUCUUUCUUUCUUCUUUCUUCUUUUUAAAACUAAGUAGACUCCACAUCCAACAUGGGGCUUGAACUCAGAACUGUGAGAUCAAGAGUUGCAUGCUCCACUAACUGACCUAGCCAAGCUCUGUUCUUAACAUUUCUUUUUCUUUUUUAAGAUUUUAUUUAUUUAUUUAUUUAUUUAUUUAUUUAUUUAUUU